UACGUAGGGUGCAAGCGUUAAUCGGCAUUACUGGGCGUAAAGCGUGCGCAGGCGGCUUUGUAAGUCUGUCGUGAAAGCCCCGGGCUCAACCUGGGAAUUGCGAUGGAGACUGCAAGGCUUGAAUCUGGCAGAGGGGGGUAGAAUUCCACGUGUAGCAGUGAAAUGCGUAGAGAUGUGGAGGAACACCGAUGGCGAAGGCAGCCCCCUGGGUCAAGAUUGACGCUCAUGCACGAAAGCGUGGGGAGCAAACAGG
rnacentral:rRNA from 1 species